rnacentral:rRNA from 1 species
GAUGAACGCUGGCGGCGUGCCUAAUACAUGCAAGUCGAGCGAACAGACGAGGAGCUUGCUCCUCUGACGUUAGCGGCGGACGGAUGAGUAACACGUGGAUAACCUACCUAUAAGACUGUGAUAACUUCGGGAAACCGGAGCUAAUACCGGAUAAUAUAUUGAACCGCAUGGUUCAAUAGUGAAAGCCGGUUUUGCUGUCACUUAUAGAUUGAUCCGCGCCGCAUUAGCUAGUUGGUAAGGUAACGGCUUACCAAGGCAACGAUGCGUAGCCGACCUGAGAGGGUGAUCGGCCACACUGGAACUGAGACACGGUCCAGACUCCUACGGGAGGCAGCAGUAGGGAAUCUUCCGCAAUGGGCGAAAGCUUGACGGAGCAACGCCGCGUGAGUGAUGAAGGUCUUCGGAUCGUAAAACUCUGUUAUUAGGGAAGAACAAAUGUGUAAGUAAAUAUGCACGUCUUGACGGUACCUAAUCAGAAAGCCACGGCUAACUACGUG